rnacentral:rRNA from 1 species
UACGUAAGUUGCAAGCGUUAUCCGGAUUUAUUGGGCAUAAAGAGUGCGUAGGCGGUAUAUUAAGUCAGGUGUAAAAUCCCACAGCUCAACUGUGGACUGCAUUUGAUACUGAUUUACUAGAGACUAGGAGAGGAAAGCGGAACUCACAGUGUAGCGGUGAAAUGCGUAGAUAUUGUGGGGAACACCAGUGGCGAAGGCGGCUUUCUGGACUAGUUCUGACGCUGAGGCACGAAAGCAUGGGUAGCGAACGGG